UCGUAAACCCUCGCAACCCUGCCUCCAAAGCUCACCGUCGAUCGUCGCCCCCCACUCACUCUCUUCACUCUCGCCAUUGACCCUCUCACUGUCGCUCUCGCCAUUGACCCUCUCACUCUCACCAUUGACCCUUUCAUACAGGAAGAAACCCUCUCAAUCUCGCUAGUGACCGUCGUCGCCCCCCACUCACCAGUCACCCGCACUCACGACUCUCCACAUUGCUGCACCACUGACCGUCGCUCCUCUUCGCCAUCUUGCACUGAUUGUCGCUGCGCUGCCCUCACCAUCGUCGCUGCUGCCGCUCUCACCAUCGUCAUCUCCGUGCUUCUCAUCAUCGUCUUCUCUGUGCUCACAUCAUUGAAUAGGAGCAAAAUUUGGUGGCUGCCAUGAGCUUUAGAUUGUUUUGAUCACUCUCUCUCUGGCUCUUUGAUCUCAACAGGAAAUGCAGCGUUUGAGUAGGCACACCCGUCUCAAUAAACUUGCUCAUUCUGGGUAACAAUGAAGAUUAAGCAAUAAUGAAGAUUAAGCUAAUUAUUAUUGUGGUUUAUUGGCUAAGAUAGAUUGCUAUUUAGAAUCUUUACAUGUAUGGUUGACUAAUGAUUUUUAUUAGAAGAUACUUUUAUUGGCUAAGUGAUAUUAUGGUUUUGAUAUGGUUAUGCUUACUUUAGUUUGAGAUGUAUAAAUUUUUACAGUUAACUU